rnacentral:tRNA from 1 species
GUGGUUGUGAUUUAACAGCAGAAUGGCUCCUUGCCAGGGAGCAUGUCCGGGUGCGACUCCCGGCAACCGCACCA